rnacentral:tRNA from 1 species
GGGUGUAUUUCAGUGGUAGAGCACUUGCCUAGUAUGCAUGAGGUCCUGGGUUUGAUCCCCAGCUCACCCC